rnacentral:rRNA from 1 species
UACGGAGGGGGCUAGCGUUUGUUCGGAAUUACUGGGCGUAAAGCGCACGUAGGCGGCUUUGUAAGUUAGAGGUGAAAGCCCGGAGCUCAACUCCGGAAUUGCCUUUAAGACUGCAUCGCUAGAACGUCGGAGAGGUGAGUGGAAUUCCGAGUGUAGAGGUGAAAUUCGUAGAUAUUCGGAAGAACACCAGUGGCGAAGGCGACUCACUGGACGACUGUUGACGCUGAGGUGCGAAAGCGUGGGGAGCAACAGG